UCAUAGAAAAGGGGUUUUUGAAAUAUGGCAUUCAGUGGUGGGAAGAAAUAUUGUGAUGCCCAGGUAAGAAUCUGGCUCUGAGCAGCUUCUAUUAAUGAACUAUUCUCAGCUGCUUUUGCUGGUGAAGAAUGUGAAAAGUCCUAUUACAUCUUGGGAGCUGUAUCACUGCUUAGUGGUAGAGCAUCUAUUUUGCAUGCAGAAGGUUUCAAGUCCAAUCUCUAGCAUCCCCAGGUAGGGUUGGGGAUAUUCCUUGCCUGAAACCCUGAAUAACUACAGCCAGUCAUUGCUGACCAUCCUGCAUUAGAGGGCCCUGUGAUCUGGUGGUGUAAGGCACCUUCCUACAGUAUUAUUCCCCAUACAGUGGUACCUCAGACUGAGGCUCACAGAGUGGCUCACCUAGCGCCACCUAGUGAGUUCAUGCCAGAGGCGUCAUUUGAACCAGGGACUUCCACUCUGUCACAUCAGUUCAUAAAAAGAAAAAACAAGAUGUAGGUUAAAUGUUUAUCCUGUGAUUGGGCUACUUGUGCUUUAAGCCCAUAUAACUUAAUUCUGCUGGAGAAAAAGCCACACUUAAUGUUAGCUAUGUGAAGCUUUCUAACCGUCUCUGAGUCCCGUCCCGUCCCGUCCCGUCCCUCCCACCCCGAUGCCUCAAUUUCAUUGAGAUGUAGUUGGUCUGUGAUUUCUAAUCCUCCAGACUAAGCAUGUCCAUAACGAUAAGAAUCUUGCAUUUUUAAUAUAGCCUCUCAACCACAUCGAAGCCAAAGCACUUUACAAAUUUUAUUAAAUCAUUGUACAAAGCCAUUAGCAGACUCAAACUGCAGCUCCCUCCCCUAGUUAAGAUCUCUUCCUUCCUUUUAAGUGAUUAAUGUGGCCCAUAUUGGCAUGGUUUAUUUAUGAAAACCCUAGAAAGAGAAAGUCCUGCUGAGCAUCGGAAACUGCACACUGAGGUAAGUGUGAUAUAACAGUAUAGUUAACCGAGUAAUAGUCCAAACCACAUAAAGAGAAUAUAUGUUCCCCAGCUGGGAAAUUACAAUACUUUAAAAGGAGAGGGUUUUUUUUAGGGGAGGGUUCUGCUUGACUUGUACAAACACACCAUUGCAAAAUUAUGCGUUCUGUAAUAUUAGACUGCCAUUGCAAGCCCUGUAGUCCUUAAGUGCGUGUAUGAUGCUUCAUUACAGUAAUUAGUUCAUUCAGCCUUGCUAGUAUAGGUUGUAGUCCCAUUUUAGAGAUGGGAAACUGAGGUCAAAGUUUCUGCCCUUUGCACAUUUCUGGGAAGUAAAUUCAGUUAACAUGGGCAGGACUUGCUGCUGAGUUAAUAUGCUUAAGUUUGGGUGGCAAGGGGGUAAGUGGUCAUUGAAAAGUGUUCCUGGUACAGUAGGGAUUUAUAAUGCAGCAGGAGUAGUAUCAGGAAGAGUGGAUUAAAUUUAAUGAUUAUUUAGUUAAAUAUGUUAAAUUAACUGAAAACAGCUUGCAGAUACUUAAUUGGCUUAGGAUUUUAUUUAUGUUAAGUGAUGAAUUAAUAUGUUUAAUUUCAUAAAGUGAAGAUUUAAGGAUGUUAAUGUUUAAGUUAAAUUUUAUAAGAAUUGUGAUUUGGGAAACCGUUAAAAGGAUAUACAAUGAAAUUCAACCAAGGGGAAGCGGGGAAGUCACUUAACAAAGUUAAUAAGUGUAAUUUUCAAUAAGGCUAUGAUUUAUGUUUGUUUGUCUUAUGUGUCUGUUUGUUUAUAAUAUUGUGAAAACCAAUAAAAAAAAUUGAGAUAAAAAAAUAAAAUGCAGACAUCUGUAGCGCAAAUC